GGUUGACCAUCCAGAGGGGUGUUCCACGAACGGAGGUUUAACAAACACUGAGUUAACGCUGAACUCUAGGUUGAUUGACCCUGUGCCGACCAACCCAGAGUUUUCGGUUCCACAGCAGCGGUUAUGCAUUAGUUCAAUCAACUCGGGGUUGGUUAACACAGGGUUGUGCGCGUCCACGCCAAACUUAAAAAGACGUGAUGUAUGGAUCAUGGAAACCCUGAUCGAUAUGGCGAAACGGGCCGCUUAUUUCAAUGAAAUGGAACUCCAGGUUCUCCUGGAGAGCUAUGACGAGGAGAAGGACAUUAUCACAAGAAAAGGGAACGCUAAAACCUCUGGAACCCGGAGAACCAAAGCCUGGCAGCGGAUCGCUGACCGCGUAAAUGCGUUAGUUACACGUCAAAAGCAUGAUCCUUAAUAUUUGAGCCAUGAAUAUAUAAAUAUCCCAGUUAAGCAUUCUUAAAGAUCCUACCACAUAACCCCUUUCUUCUAAAACAAUAUGUACUCCGAUUGCUUCCAAGCGGUCAGAGGAUCAAGUAUAAAAAUGAAGUAUAAAAAACAUACAAACUGGUAAGCUUUUCCCACCAUCGUAUUGGUAUAAAUUUAAAUAAGCCAUUUUUUUAAGCCAAUCGUGAAAAGGCCGACAGUCGGCAGACUGGAUCUGGCCCUCAAAUUGUCUUGACCCCGGUGGAGGAGCUGUUAAUAAACAUAAAUUCAGGGCGCCCUGGCAUGGAGGGGGUAGCCUACCUGGAGGUACCUACCACCUCAGAGAGUCAUGGGCCAUACACACUGGUUGAAUGUAGGUUUUUGUGUUUUCUUGUAUUUUAGAUUUUUUUUGCCUUCGAAGUAACACAUGCAAACCGUGUGCUUGCCACAGCGCAUACUAGGCCUAUUCCAAAUGUUUCUUUUUUUGGUAACUGGGUAGAAAACCUAAAAGUGACAAUUCAUCAACUUCACAGAUCAAGAUGGAUCAGUGCUUGUAAUGAAGCCGCCGGCUACGAUCGAACAUUCUCCAGUGGAUGCAAGUCCGUUAGGACUAUUUUAUACUUUAUGUUGUAAAUGCCUCUCGGCAUAGUACUCAGACAAUAUUGCUCUUUGUAUGAUAGGAGGCCGAUACAAAUCUUGGAUGGGUCAUCUGAAACGACUGUGAUGUGCUCAGCAUCUCCAGCAUUAUAGCUUAGAUAAAACUACCAUUUGAAAAAAACGGAGGGCUACGCAAAUAGUCUGGAGUGAACUGAGGCCAGGUCCUCGAUUGGUAGUGUUGGCUAUGCAAGGCUAUUUAAAUAUAUUAAAGAUUUGCGCGAGAAUCUAUAUCUCUCCACUCCAGCAAAAAGUCAUCCAAUAUGCCAAGAUGUCGAGCCGUGGUCUUAUCAAUCGCUCCCGGUGGAUUGCACGUAUAAUUUGCGCUCUGAUAUCAGCAGUUCACUCAUCAAAAGGGCAUGCCAUUGUGAACACAUGAAAUCUGCGGUGAACGCCGGUUGAAAUACCCAAAACCGGGUUAUGUUUCAAACUUAACCUGCGCAAAACCUGGUCCGACCAGGUUUGAUUCAGAUCAUAUGUUGCUAUAGCAACUAACAUACCGUGAUCCUUUUGGAACGGAAAACAUAGGGUUACAGCAAACCCUGGGUUAACUUACCCGGUUAUGUGAUAAAACCGGCUUUGUGGAACACCCCACUGGAUUGGAGCCGGUCUGCCUAAAUGUUUACUCUAUUCAGAAUGCCAGCCAAAUAUAUAGAGCCGACUAUGGUCCUCUAAAUUUGAGAAGAAUACACAAUCGCUACAGGUAUCUCUCCUAUCGUUCCUUUGUGAGCUGGUGCUGGGGCCACCUGGGACGCCGUAUCCGGGUUGUCAUUCCAGCUUGUGUGGUCCUGCGUAUCCGCUCCGAGUUUCCUGCUGAGGAAGGCCACUAUGUUGGUUUUAAACAUCCCCCCGUUUGAACCUUGACACAAGGCUGCUGAUGACCGCCUCCUUGUCAGGCUUCUCAUACUGUGCCGUUAGGGGCUCUGGAACAGGGAUCUCCAACAGGGCCUCGGUGUAUGGCGUAGGGUUGGGAAAGACUUCCUCAAAAAUUACAUCCAUGAUUUCAUCAACGUAACCUGUAUCGUAAAACAUGUUUUCUUUACAAAUUGGUUGGGUCUUGUGUUACUGUGUUUUUGUAUUUAUUUGAUUUUUCAUCAAGAGAAAAACAUUUUAGAAAUCCAAAAUGUGUGUCGUUUGAAUUUAUUUGAACCCUUACCAAAGGUCUGCUGUGUUUUUUGUGGUUUAGCUCUGCACUCUCCCUUCCUAGCCUUUGCAAAGGACAUUUUAUAAAUCGGUACUCCUUCCUUUGUUUCGGCCUGUGGUCGGUCCACAUUGUGAUUUGAAUGCAUAGCAGCCAGGUAGAGUCUGGAAGUACAAGACAAAACAUGUUAAUAUUGACAGAUAUUUUAGGCUACAAUUCCAAAAAGUAUUUAGUAAACAAACUUUCUUUAACCUGCACAGCAUUCCAAUAAAGGGAAAGACAAAAUUUUUGGGGGCAAAACGAAGAAUAACCGCAUGGAAAGCCUCCAAAGAUGAAGUUUGGUGGUGGGGGCUCAGUUUUGCAACAUCCUUCAGCGCCCUUUUAUUGGUCAGCAACUUCUCCAACUUGGAGAAAGUUGGAGUUGCUGCAGACAAUAAGAAAAUAUGAUAUUAGAAAACCAUUACCCAUACAGUAAAGAAUACUACAA